rnacentral:misc_RNA from 1 species
AAAGUCGUAACAAGGUUUCCGUAGGUGAACCUGCGGAAGGAUCAUUACAAAAAAUCCAAUGGCUAGCAUACUCUCAAGCAUGCGAAUCAUCAAACCAUUUCUGAGUACAUCACUUCCGCGUUGCUUUCGCAGGUGGACCGGCGCUGCAACGGACGACAUACACACGUUUUUGGAGUCCGCGAAGCGUCGUAAUCUGCGAAAGGGUCUGAGUUUUUUUAUUUAAAUUCUUCGUUUAACCGUCGUUCAUUCUCGUCUGAAACAAAACUACAAAACAAAAACAAAACUUUCAACAACGGAUCUCUUGGUUCUC